rnacentral:lncRNA from 1 species
AAGGGGUUUGUGACUUCAGUAUCUGGAGAUUUUCAGGAAAACCUAGGAAACUAUUUUUCACCAGUAUUAGUCUGUAGCAUCCAAUUAGCGAGACCCUGUUUCAAAACAAAAAAUUUGAAAAGGUUUGGGUACUGUACAUAGCUCAAGGUGAAGGCCCUGGGUUCAAUUCCCAGGAGAGGGGGAGAGGGAGGAGAAAGGAGAGAGGAAAGGAAAGGAAGGAAGGAAGAAAGAAACAAAGGAAAGAGAAACAAGGAAAGAAAGGAAAGAGAAAGAAGAAAGGAAAGAAAGGAAGGAAGAAAGGGAAAAAGAAAGAAAGAAAAAGAAAAGAAAGAGCAAGCCAGCACCAGACAGAUACAGGGCAAAGGCCUUUAUUGCCUGCUUCCUGGAUGCUGUAUCAGCCAGCCAUGGAUCUGCCUGCCCAUAAAUGUUCCCCCUCAACCCUAGUGCAUUCCCCAACACCAUGUGGCCUGACAAUCUGCCUGAAACAUCCUCUUCAUCUUGUCAUUCCUCUGCCAUCAAAGAAUAUAUAAUCUCUUUGGGAAGAAGACAUGCACAUAUGAGCCCCUGAGAUAAUUCUAUAAUGAUAAUAAAUAAAAUGAAGAGGGAAAACAAAAUGAACUCAAAGGUCAUUUCUUGUGAAAAAAAACUGCACCAUUUUCUCAGUACAAAUUAUUGACAGGAGUGGACCAGGCAGAAAAGUUGAAUUUCAGCUGAGCAUGGAAAUUGAAUUAGAAGAGGAUAGGUUUUCUAAUAGGAAAUGGGGGUCUAAAGAUCUGUGGCCCCAGGCUGCCCUCCUUGUACACCCUACCUUUUGUGAUAUUCCUCCUGCCCCUACUCCACAGCUUCCAACCCUGAGCUGCUUUCCAGAUCUGGUUCAAAGGUAACUUCCACCCCUUCUCCUUUCUUCCUCCUGCAGCACUAGGGAUUAAGCCCAGGGCUUUUGUACUAAGCUACAUCUCCAGCCCUUUUUAGCUUUUAUUUUGAGACUGGGUCUCACAGUAAAUUGCUAAUUUGCCCAGGCUGGCCUUGGACUUGCCUUCCUGAGUGCUAAGAUUACAGGUACAUGCCACAGUGCAAGGCUUCAUUUUCUCCUUGAAUCUCUUCUAGACUGUUUCUUCCUUUAAGUUUUCUUUAACAUUUACCUGUGCAACUGGAGUGCCUGGUAAGACUCUGGUAUGACCUUCAGAGGAAACAGGUUUGUGCUUUUUUUUUUUGGUACCGGGGAUUGAACUCGGGACCUUUCGCUUGCGAGGCAGGCGCUGGAACCACUGAGCUAAAUCGCCGGCCCAGGUUUGUGCUUUUUAAGAAACAGAUUAGGGGGUUG